GGGUCAGCAGUUCACCCAGGCGUUACCGCUCCGCAAGGAGAGCUAAACCUGCAU
rfam:Rhizobium oryziradicis strain N19 scaffold10, whole genome shotgun sequence.